GGCUUGCCACUGUUCCCACACGGCUAAGUGUCCGGGUUCGUCCUAAUCAAGCUGAACACUAGUCACUGGGUUCCACGGUUCUCUUCCAUGACCCACGGCUUCUAAUAGAGCUAUAACACUCACUGCAUGGCCCAAGAUUCCAUUCCUUGGAAUCCGUGAGGCCAAGAACCCCAGGUCAGAGAACACGAGGCUUGCCACCAUCUUGGAAGCAGCCCGCCGCCAUUUUGGAAGUGGCCCACCACCAUCUUGGGAGCUCUGGGAGCAAGGACCACCUGGUAACAAUAGGCCAAAUACUGUGCUGAUAAGCUUGAAAGCCUGCCCUGAAUCCUCAUCUAUUGAUGGAGAUGGUGUCAUCUUGCCUUGAUUGUAUCCAGAAGCUUCAUCCCCAAGAUAAAGGAUGGACAUCUCUCCGAUGACCAGCUUCUUUUGCUCGACUCUAGAGAAGGUUGCUUUCUGCAUUCUGGCAACUGCCCUCUGUCUACAUGAUUAGACUCGUUGGUUGCAGUGCUUUCUGGAGUAAUGAAGGGAUCCAGUGCACAGGGUUUAACUUACUGGGCACAAUCUCUAAGCCAACUCUGCCUGAAUGGGUCCCCUGUUUUUUCUCUUCUGCUCUUGUUGAACCAUAUCUCUGUUCCUUGUGCUCCUGGGAAUUUCUUGCUCUGGUCAUGAAAAAAAUGGAAACUCUCUCAAGGAAUAACAAUCAGAGCUGUCUGGUUGACAAGGGACAUUAUGGUUGCAAGAAGACCCUGAAGCAAGGAUUCUACAUCAAAGAUUCAGGGGCAAUCUGAGUUUGCAUUUAAGAUCCUUCUGCCU
rnacentral:lncRNA from 1 species